GAAGAGGUAAAAUGAUCUUUAUUUGCAAUUUAUAUAAUUGUGCACUUGAAAACUCCAAAGAACAACCAGAAAACUAUUAAAAUUCAUAAAAUAAUUAGAUAAGGCACUGGUUACAAUAUUUGUAAUUCAAAUCAGGAUGUUUCCUAUGUACAAUCAGAAAACAUAAUGGAGGUAAACAUUUCAUUCACAAAAGCAUUAACAGAUGACAUGCUUUGGAAUAAACACUAAGAGACCUACCUGAAGAAAAUUUGAAAAUGCCACUGAAAUACAAAACACUCGCAUAUACAUGGAUAGGAAGAUUCAAAAUUAUAAAGAUGUCACUUCUCCCUAAAUUAAUCUAGAGACUCAGUAUGAUUUCAAUCCAAAUGCCAACUCUCUGGGGGGCUGAUAUGAAAUUGUCAUACAACUUGAAUAAUAAACAUGAGAAUACAGUUGGCCCUUUGGUAAAAGAUUGUCAUAAAAUCAUUCAAAAUACAACUUGAAUAUAACUGUGAGAAUAUAGUCAGCCCUUCAUAUCCAUGGGUUCUGCAUCCAUGGAUUCAACAAAGGAGGGAUAAAAAAUACUUCAAAAAGACUGUGUCUGUACUGAACAUGUACAGACUUUUAAAAAUGUCAUUAUUUCCUAAACAAUACAGUAUAACUAUUUACAUAGUAUUAGAUAGUCUCAUCUAAGUAAUCUAGAGAUGAUUUAAAACAUACAGGAGGAUGUGCAUAGGUUAUAUGUGAAUUCUAUACCAUUUUAUACCAGGGACUUGAGCGUCUGUGGAUUUUGGUAUAUGAGAGAGGUCCUAGGACCGGUUCCCCACAGACCAAGGGAUGAGAGUACUUUGGAAAAACCUGAGACAGAAGAAUGAGACCAGCCCUACCAGUUAUUAAAUUUCGAAACUACAGUUAACCAAAAUAGCUUGGUACUGAACAGAAAUAGAAAUAUCAGUGGCAUUUCAAAUCAGUGGGGGAAAAGGAUGAUUCAAAAUUGUUGUGAAAAUUUGCUAAUUAUUUGUGGGGAAAUUGCAUUCUGACAUCAUCACUUACAUUUUUUUUUUGAGAUGGAGUCUCACUGUCUCGCCCAGGCUGGAGUGCAAUGGCACGAUCUCGGCUUGCUGCAGCCUCCGCCUCAGCCUCCCAAGUAGCUGGGAUUACAGGCACCCGCCAUCAUGCCCAGCUAAUUUUUGUACUUUUGUAGAGAUGGGGUUUCACCAUGUUGGCCAGCCUGGCCUCAGGUGAUCCGCCCGCCUCCGCCUCCCAAAGUGCUGGGAUUACUGGCGUGACCCACUGUGCCCGGCCAUCACCACUUACUUUAAAAUGAAUAAUAGAUGAAGCAAAUUUCAAAUAUUAAAAUAUAAUAAAUUACUAGAAGAAAAACAUAUUUUUAGAAUCUGAGAGUGGGUAAGGCCUUCUUAAGCCUAACCGAAAACAGAAGUCAUAAAGAAAAAAACCCAAAUAAAUCUGGCUUCAUAACGGGUUAAAAUUUACCAUACUAUGAAAAUAAAUAAACGGCUAUACAAACAAAUGACAAACUGAGAAAAACUACAGCAGUACACAUGAAGGGUUAAUUUCCUAAAUAUACAAUAAACUCCCACAAAAUCACAAUACAAAUAUAAUCUAAGAGAAAAGUGGCAAAAGAUAUAAACAGGAAGCUUAAUAGAAAAAGAAAGUUGUUCAACCUCACUCAUAAUUACAUACAAAACUAGAAGCUGGGCAUGGUGGCUCAUGCCUAUAAUGGAAGCACUUUGGGAGGCCGAGGCUACAAUGAGGCAUGAUAGCACCAUCGCACUCCAGCCUGGGCGAUACAGUGAGAUCCUGGCUCAAAAAACAAACCAACCAACAAACAAAAAUGAGAACAACCUAGAAGCUAUUUUUUCACAGAGAAGAUUAGUAACAAUGAAUAUUAUUACUAAUAAGAUGACUUUUUUUUGAGACAGGGUCUCGCUCUGUCCCCCAGGCUAGAGUGCAGUGGUGCUGUCAUGGCUCACUACAGCCUCAACCUCCUGGGCUCAAGCAAUCCUCCUGCCUCAGCCUCCCGAGUAGCUGGGACUUACAGGUGUGCGCCACCACGCCCGGCUAAUUUUUCUAUUUUUUGUAAAGACGGGGGUCUACCUAUGCUAUUCAGGCUGGUCUCGAACUCCUGGGCUUAAGCAAUCCACUCUCCUUAGCCUGCCAAAGUGUUGGGAUUACAGACUUGAGCCACUGUGCUUGGCAAGGCUACUCUUAAUUAAACAGUGAAUGAAUACAGGUUUAUAAGCAUUCAUGUAAACAGGUAUUUUCCUAUACUGUUGGAGAGAACUUAAAAAUGAUAUAACCCUCCUGAUGAGCAACUGGUAAUGCUUAAAUUUAAAAUGUAAUUUGGCAGAGCAAUUUCUAAAAAUACAUCCCAUAGAUAUAUUCGCAUAAGCGAAUAGGAGGAUGUGCAUAGGUUUUCAGAAUUUUUUUUUUGUAAUCAACAAAACUUGAAGCCAACCAAGUAAUUGGAAAAUGCAAAAUUAUGAUAUAUUCAUUCACUGUGAUUGACAACUACCCAAUCACAGAAGAAAAACCCAGUGGGGUACAGCAAGAGGUACUGAUACGAGAUGUCUUAAAACACUGAACUGCUAAGUGACUAAAAUCAAGAUGCAGAACUGUAUGCAGAGUAUGAUACAAUUUCUGGAAAAAUAUGUACAUGAAAUUCUUACUAGUAGUUACCUCUAGUGAAUGGGAUUGUUGGGGGGAUGAGGACUUUUAUUUUUUACUUUAACUCUUCUGCACAUUGCAUAUGGAUUGAAGCUUGCUUUGUAGGCAAAUGUGGCUUAUUUACGCUUUUCCAAACUCUGCAAUUCAUCCAGGAAGGUCUCUUCAUAUGACACCCACAUUCCCACUUCUGUGCCUUGGGCUCAGGUCCUACUCUUCCAUUUUCUUUGCACAUUUAAGUCUUGUCCAUUCUUCAAGGACCCGCUCAAAUGCCAACAAUUCCAUGAGAACUUUCUAAACUCCUUAAAAGUACACUGCUCUCUUCCUUCUUGGUAUUUCCACUGUACACAGCUGUGCAUUUGAUUAUUCUCUCACUUAUAUUUGUUGACUUUUUCCAAUUUCUAAGCAUCUUAAGAGGACGAAGUAUGUUUAAAAUUAUUAAAAUUCUUCUGCACUCCCACAUUACAGUCAAUAUGAAGCAUAGCAUUCAAUACUUUUAAAUAUGUGAUAGUUUCCUCAGG
rnacentral:lncRNA from 10 species